CAGGGAGGCCGGGGAACCCGGGAGGUCCAUCGGCUCCGACUUCUCCCUGCACCCGACACAGGAGGAGACGAGCGUCAUCCCACCGCCCAGCAAAGCCUGGCGUCCGGGGAGGGCCAGCCCAGAGCGGAGGGUCCCAGGGACACCGGGCCAGCUGUGCAGGCAGCUAACACGUGCAGCCUAGACUGUUCUGGAAGCUGCCCCAUCAGUUUGCUCCAAGGAGCACCCCACCAGACGACUUCGUUUUAAGGAAGAAACGGUUUUAUCCACUUUAAAAACGGCACUACCGAGGGAGACCCACAGACUGAGGAGGCCCGAGGGUCCUGGAUGCCAGCUUGUGAGCAGGGCAGGGAGGUGGGGACUUGACACAGGGAGGCCCCCGGGCAGAGGGCUGGGCUCUGUGCAGGCUCAGCCCGAGGCCGGGAUCACCACCUGGCCCGGCCCCACCCAAGACCACCUAACCUCACCUGCAAAUGGAGGGACCACAGUCUCCUGCCUGUGAGGGGCACAGGCGCCCCCUGGCCCACAGCAGGGCGUGUUACCCACGCACGCAAGCCCACCGGAAGGCCCCGGGCAGCGCCGACCACGGCCUCUCCCCAGGGGGCCUCCCCGGCCAGUUCCACUGCCUCCUCCGGCCCCUCGAGUGGGCUGGGGUCCCCUCACCGCUUCCCAUAGGCAUCGGAUGCUGUCCUACGGGGGUUGGGCCCCGGCCCUCCGUGAGCUGCCCCUGAGGCUGGUGUUAACCCCUUUACGGUCUAUUUAACAGAUAGUCAGCAGUUUUGACUUGUCACCCACUUUAUCCACGUGCUCAUUUUAAUAGAAUCUUAUAUUUUACUUUCUGGGUUUUAAUACUAGUGCCUUUUUAUUAUAUUUAA